rnacentral:lncRNA from 1 species
CCCCUAUACAAAUGAAAACGAUCACCGACUGCCCCCAGCCAAUAGGCUUCAACUUCCUGUUUUUGAGACUGUCAAUCAAAGUGAGUGCAAAACAAGGCUCCGCGUCACAACAGCAAACAGGGUGUGAGCCGGAUGGUAGAGUUCAUAACGUUUCCUAUACUACAGUCGAUGGCUGUCAAACAUACGAGUGCAAGGUGAGGAGUUAGCAUGCGUGCAAAUUGUUUAAAACAAACCCAGAUCUGUUCGUUAGCUCACAUUAACUCCUCUUUCUUAUGGUGAAUAGGAUAAUAAUUGCUCUCCUACACCAUGUCAUCCCCAAGACUGCGCACAAAAAACUCCAUGCAAGGUGAUUAUUACUGUAAAAAUAACUGUGAAAAGUGUAAAAUAGUGUAAGUGGUCAUCAGAAAUCCUCUAACUUAAACGUAUGAGUUGAUACAUGUAGGUAUUAUCAUUUUGCUCUUUUUUAAAAGGCCAGUAAUGAGGACUGCUCUCCUGCACCAUGUCACCCCCAGGACUGCAAACCUGAUGAACCCACAGCCAAUGAGUGUGCACACUGCACUCACAACGGCAUCCAGUACAACAACGGAGCCCAGUGGAGGUCAGCGGAAAAUCCCUGUGACAUCUGCUACUGCGUGGAGGGUCACGUGCACUGUCAGAGGGAGCAGUGUGACACCCCGUGUAAGAAGAACCCAUCACCUGCUGCUCCAGCCGACGCCUGCUGCUCUGCGUGUUCAGGUGUGUGUGUGUGUGUGUGUGUGUGUGUGUGUGUGUGUUCAGUCUGAAUCAGGGUUGGGGUCACCUACAUUUUUAAAUUACAAUUACAUCUUCAAUUAUCCAUGUUCAAUUACAACUUAAUGACGAUUACGAUGACCAGAAUUUUUUUAGA